GGCGGCGCGGCGGGAAACGCGCCCUGGGCCGGGGCCUUCCCCGACGCGCACAGCUCUGUAGCAAAUCGCAAGUGCGGCGGCCUCCCGGUCGUGACCAUCGCAGGCACAGCCGGCUCGACUCCGGUCCUCGCGGCCGGCCGGCGUAAGUUCCCGCGAGGGACCGCCUACCCACUCUCCCCGCCCCGGGAAGAACUGCGCCGCGCCCGGGAUUUUUCGGACUCGCCCAGCAGCUUGCGAGCGGGCGGGCAGCCGCCGGGGCAGAGCGCAGGCGGAAAACGAAAGCGCAGCACGAGUCGCGGCCGCUUUGUCUCGGGCGCCGCGGGCCUGACAGGGGCGAGUGAGAACCCGCUGGCCCAGAGGCGACCCAGAUCGCACAGGCCCGGGAACAAGCGGCGUGCUCAGUCACUCACCCGUGCGCGCACACCCUCGCGCUCUUGUCCACACAUUAGCACACACAUACAUGUCUUGAUGCACAUGCAAACCCGGUAAAUUACGCAAACAGACGUGUAAACACACCCAUGCGUGUGUGCACACUCAUGUGCAGAGGGCGCUCAGGCAUGUGCGCACCCACUAAUGCACUCGCUGACACGGAAGCUUAAGGCCCACAGGAGCUUAAGUGCGCACUCACUCCCACUCACGCGUACACACGCCACGCUCGGAUCUGAACUCACACGUAGUUCAGUUGCCCUCCCCCACCCCCAACACACACUGAAAACCCGCCUAUUUGGCCCCGCGGCCCCAUUUUCAAAGCGCAGGUUCCGAUUUCCCGAGAGAUGGCAAAGGCCCUGGCAGGAAGUUUACAGGGUUUAACGUAAACAAGUUCUGGGGGAUUCUUUAAUAAUAAUAAUAGAGAAUUCCGCGUGCGCAGGGCGGGAGGGGGGAGUUGGCCUAAUGCCCCUGUGGGCUCGGCCUGCCGCCGCCGCGGGGGCCUCUGACACUGCGCGCCAGGCCAGGUUCCUGAGAGCAGACAGCGCGGGCUGGGAGCGCCGGCAAGGGCGGCCCUCGCGCGCCUGGCUGCCAGCCCGCGGGGGGCUCGCACGCAGACCUGCCCUUGCCACCUCAGCGCUCGGGUGCGGGCUGGGGGCGGUGGAGCCAGGAAAGGUGGUGCCGAGAGCGGAGCGCAGGACAGCGCAGGAGCCCUGGCGCAACGCGGCGCGCACAGACCCAGGAUUUGUGAAGAGGUGACCCAAAUUUCAAGACAAUGUUGGAUGCAAACGGAUUUGCCAGCAAUUGCAUCACUGUCAAAACCAGCUCUGCCCGUGUCUUCCGAAGAUACCAAGUGAAAUAUGUGUAGAUGGGAUUUACAUCUGAAAAACCAAGGCAGGAGGCCAUGGGAAGGGACGGAGGUGGAAUAGGACUGGACAGGAGCUGAUAAAUGGUUGUUGCUGAGUACUGGGCAGAUAGGGGUUGGUUAUCCUAUUAUCUUUGCUUUCAUAUAUUUUAUUUUUUCUGUAAUAAAACAAAUUAAAAUCACCUGUCGUGACCUCACAGGGGCCAGUGUGGGUUGUGGCAUGAGGCAGGAAGCUCUGCAGAGUUCCUUGGUCAAAAGGAUUAAUUACAAAAGAACUCCACGAACACCGAGAAGAAGAGAAGGGAAUCCUGGCAUUUAAAGCCACAAAGAAACUUGAUAUGGUCUUGUCUCCUUCUCUCAACUGACAGUGAGAAACUGAAGACCAGAGAGGGUGAGUGGUUUACCCAGUUUGGCACAACUGACCCCAACCUAGCCCUCCGUGAGGACUGAGUGCAUGAGAGAUCCUGAGCCACAGCCACCCAGCCCUGCUCCUCUCGAAUUUCUGACCUACAGGAAGUGCAAGAAGUAAUGAAAGACUGCUGUUUAAAGCCACUGCAUUUUGGCAUGAUUUGUUAUGCAGUCAUAGAUAACCAGAAAACAUCGGAUUUACAUUUUAAG
rnacentral:lncRNA from 1 species